rnacentral:rRNA from 1 species
CUUGGUUCAGGACGAACGCUGGCGGCGUGCUUCAUACAUGCAAGUCGAACGAUAAGGUUCCUUCGGGAAUACAUAAGUGGCGGACGGGUGAGUAAUAUGUAGAGAAUCUGCCCUGAAGAGGGGGACAACAGAGGGAAACUUCUGCUAAUACCCCAUAUGCGCGUAGUUGAGAUACUAUUCGUGAAAGAUUUAUCGCUUCAGGAUGAGUCUGCAUCUGAUUAGCUAGUUGGGGGUGUAAUGGACCACCAAGGCGACGAUCAGUAGCUGGUUUGAGAGGAUGAUCAGCCACAAUGGGACUGAGACACGGCCCAUACUCCUACGGGAGGCAGCAGUAGGGAAUUUUGCGCAAUGGGCGAAAGCCUGACGCCAGCAACGCCGCGUGAUCGCAGACGGCCUUCGGGUUGUAAAGAUCUGUCAGUAGGGACGAAAAUGACUGUACCUACAGAGGAAGCACCGGCUAACUCCGUGCCAGCAGCCGC